rnacentral:lncRNA from 1 species
CACACCUUAGAAACAUUUUAGCUUUAAUAUCCAUAGAUACCUCCCAGCUAGUCUUUAAAGGGAAAGAAAAAGGCACUUGCAUACUGCUUCCAGAGUAUUCAGAGGAUUUCAAUAUUUAGGCCUCUCAUACAAUCCUGGUUGAAAUUCAUGUAUGAUCUUAAUAUAAAUGUUAGGUUUUCUGUCUGGGUUGUGUUCAUUAUUUUAAACUACUACAAGGAAAUUACCCCCAAACAAUUAAUUGGUCAAAUAGCUGGUAACAUGUUGUUCCUUUACAAUCAUAUGCCUCAGGGUAGGUGGGGGGAAGCCCUCAAAAGCCACCAUCAGGCAUUUUGAAAUUCUACCAUUCCCCAGUUUGCUUUAAAGACAUGCUUCAGAUAGAGAACAGUCUGGGGCUCUGCCUCUAAAGAACAAAGGACAAAUACAGUCAAUACAUUCCAUAACGUUUACAUUUCCUUUGCUUUCCCCCCUUGGUUUUUCCCCCUUGGUUUUUCCUGAGAAGUGACCUGGGCAAAGCACCCUACUCUCUAAAAGACACUGUAUAGACCUUUUAGAAGCGCAAAGUCCAAGGCCGAGGUGAACUUCAGGUCAGCGCGUCUAACAAAUAUGAAAAUGUCGGCUGGUGAAGGGCGCGCCUUGUGAUUUAACAAAGACUGUCAAUGUGUAAGAUUAAUAAGAAACAAAAUGCACACGGUGUCACUGUUCGGUCACUUUGAAACUUGGGACAGGGUUGCAUUCAAGAGGAAAGGCUGUUCCAAACAUAUUCAAAAUGAUUCAAAUCAGAUUCAAACCAAGCUGCAAAUACUGCCUCCCUCUUGCCCUCCCUUUCCCUAGGACUCCCUUCACUCUCCUUCUCCAUCUGGGAUGCGAGGACAUGAUGAAAAGUUAUUUUACUUAAUGGGAUUUUAAGAAAGCUUUUGUUGGGAAUAUAUGUUAUCCCUGCACGUGGAAAUGAGCAAAUAUGCUUACCAGUUUCCCAAGGAAAGGAUAAAGAUUUCACUCGGCUUGGGACUGGAGCCAGUUGGUGUGUGAAGAUUAGCAUGCUCCCUCUCUGCUCGAUUUCAGGGCAUCCCAUCUUUUCUCGGGCAAGAUGCUGCUGGUAAAACUUCAGG